rnacentral:rRNA from 1 species
GACGAACGCUGGCGGCGUGCCUAAUACAUGCAAGUUGAGCGCUGAAGGUUGGUACUUGUACCAACUGGAUGAGCAGCGAACGGGUGAGUAACGCGUGGGGAAUCUGCCUUUGAGCGGGGGACAACAUUUGGAAACGAAUGCUAAUACCGCAUAAAAACUUUAAACACAAGUUUUAAGUUUGAAAGAUGCAAUUGCAUCACUCAAAGAUGAUCCCGCGUUGUAUUAGCUAGUUGGUGAGGUAAAGGCUCACCAAGGCGAUGAUACAUAGCCGACCUGAGAGGGUGAUCGGCCACAUUGGGACUGAGACACGGCCCAAACUCCUACGGGAGGCAGCAGUAGGGAAUCUUCGGCAAUGGACGAAAGUCUGACCGAGCAACGCCGCGUGAGUGAAGAAGGUUUUCGGAUCGUAAAACUCUGUUAGUAGAGAAGAACGUUGGUGAGAGUGGAAAGCUCAUCAAGUGACGGUAACUACCCAGAAAGGGACGGCUAACUACGUG